rnacentral:lncRNA from 1 species
GGCGACGGGUGUCAGGGAAGCUAAAUUGAGUAGUCAGGAUUAGGGAAUCUACUCCAGUCAUCUUUCUAGUUCACAUGACAGAGAGAGGUCAAAACACCAACGAGGACCCCCGGGACUGGCAGGAAGAACGGAUGACGGUGCCUCCAGGAGGGCCCCAGACUGGCGACAGCAAAACACGCCAUACAAACUAGUUCCACAUGGCUGCCAAGGGGAAAACUAAUCGUUCUUCAAGCAUUUAGGGAAAGGCCAUGAUUCCUUGAGGAAGAAGGGAGAAGAGAAUGGUCUAAAAUGGAACCAGGUGUUCCAGAAAAGUCUAGAAGACACCUCUGGAGACAUCUGGACUAUGCAUGGUAAAACAGCAGUGUUAGCAAACAGUAGCUAUCACUACUAUUGUGGAAUGAAAGUGAUGAGAAACCAUUAAAACCCUCAUUUAAUCCACCGAGAAA